AUAUAGUGUAGUGUGUCUAUAUAAUGUAGUGUGUGUGUAUAUAAUGCAGUGUGUGUGUUUAAUGCACACACUACAUUAUAUACACACACUGCAUUAUA